CGAUACAGGGUGACAGCCCCGUACACAAAAAUGCACAUACUGUGAGCUCGAUGAGUAGGGCGGGACACGUGGUAUCCUGUCUGAAUAUGGGGGGACCAUCCUCCAAGGCUAAAUACUCCUGACUGACCGAUAGUGAACCAGUACCGUGAGGGAAAGGCGAAAAGAACCCCGGCGAGGGGAGUGAAAAAGAACCUGAAACCGUGUACGUACAAGCAGUGGGAGCACGCUUAGGCGUGUGACUGCGUACCUUUUGUAUAAUGGGUCAGCGACUUAUAUUCUGUAGCAAGGUUAACCGAAUAGGGGAGCCGAAGGGAAACCGAGUCUUAACUGGGCGUUAAGUUGCAGGGUAUAGACCCGAAACCCGGUGAUCUAGCCAUGGGCAGGUUGAAGGUUGGGUAACACUAACUGGAGGACCGAACCGACUAAUGUUGAAAAAUUAGCGGAUGACUUGUGGCUGGGGGUGAAAGGCCAAUCAAACCGGGAGAUAGCUGGUUCUCCCCGAAAGCUAUUUAGGUAGCGCCUCGUGAAUUCAUCUCCGGGGGUAGAGCACUGUUUCGGCAAGGGGGUCAUCCCGACUUACCAACCCGAUGCAAACUGCGAAUACCGGAGAAUGUUAUCACGGGAGACACACGGCGGGUGCUAACGUCCGUCGUGAAGAGGGAAACAACCCAGACCGCCAGCUAAGGUCCCAAAGUCAUGGUUAAGUGGGAAACGAUGUGGGAAGGCCCAGACAGCCAGGAUGUUGGCUUAGAAGCAGCCAUCAUUUAAAGAAAGCGUAAUAGCUCACUGGUCGAGUCGGCCUGCGCGGAAGAUGUAACGGGGCUAAACCAUGCACCGAAGCUGCGGCAGCGACACUAUGUGUUGUUGGGUAGGGGAGCGUUCUGUAAGCCUGUGAAGGUGUACUGUGAGGUAUGCUGGAGGUAUCAGAAGUGCGAAUGCUGACAUAAGUAACGAUAAAGCGGGUGAAAAGCCCGCUCGCCGGAAGACCAAGGGUUCCUGUCCAACGUUAAUCGGGGCAGGGUGAGUCGACCCCUAAGGCGAGGCCGAAAGGCGUAGUCGAUGGGAAACAGGUUAAUAUUCCUGUACUUGGUGUUACUGCGAAGGGGGGACGGAGAAGGCUAUGUUGGCCGGGCGACGGUUGUCCCGGUUUAAGCGUGUAGGCUGGUUUUCCAGGCAAAUCCGGAAAAUCAAGGCUGAGGCGUGAUGACGAGGCACUACGGUGCUGAAGCAACAAAUGCCCUGCUUCCAGGAAAAGCCUCUAAGCAUCAGGUAACAUCAAAUCGUACCCCAAACCGACACAGGUGGUCAGGUAGAGAAUACCAAGGCGCUUGAGAGAACUCGGGUGAAGGAACUAGGCAAAAUGGUGCCGUAACUUCGGGAGAAGGCACGCUGAUAUGUAGGUGAAGUCCCUCGCGGAUGGAGCUGAAAUCAGUCGAAGAUACCAGCUGGCUGCAACUGUUUAUUAAAAACACAGCACUGUGCAAACACGAAAGUGGACGUAUACGGUGUGACGCCUGCCCGGUGCCGGAAGGUUAAU
rnacentral:rRNA from 1 species